rnacentral:lncRNA from 1 species
UGGACCUUUUUUAGUCUGCCAUAGAUGAUACCUCCGACACUUCAGCUGGAGGAAAGGUGUUUAUGGAAUAGAUGCAGAGAGCUCUGUCCAGUUGCUCCAAGCUUUACUGGUUGCACUCUAGGUCUGCUGCACAUCUACACGGAUAUCACCUGGAGAGAUCACUUAUUCUGGAGAACCCCAGAUGCUCAGUCAUGAAGACACUUAUCCAGAGUCCUGUGUGGUGAGGAACUGAGGCGUUCAUCCAGUGAGGAAUUGAGGAUUCCUACUAACAGCCAUGUGAGUGAACUUGAAAGUGAGUGAAUCCUCCAACUUCUCAAUCAGUCCUUCAGAUGACUGCAGUCCUGGCUGACAUCUUGCCUGUAACCUCAUGAAAGACCUUGAGCUACACUCGCCCAGCUAAGCUUCUCCAAAAUUCCUGAGUCAAAGAAACUGUAAGAUAAU